UUGGGGACACCCUUUCUUGGGCACAGAUGGGAGUGGAUGAGAUACACUUUCAAUGAGAAGGGAGUAUAGCAAAUCCAAGUCACUUAGUAGAGAACAGCUAAAGUUAUCAUUUUCCUUCCAGAGGAGAUCAACUAUGCCUAAGGAAACAUAACCUACGAAUACCCAAGGUACUUGGUACCUUGGUAGGGGCCUCAUGUCCACCACAGUUUUUGUGAGGUAACUUUGCUGUGCAUUCACUACCUGAGUGAUGUCUGCUGCCUUUUGUGUUGGUUUAUUUUCUUUCUCACUUUUAUUCAUCUGUGAUUAUCUGGAAAAUGGAAAGUAGAAUGAAAAAUCAUCUAACCUGAAGAGGAAAAUGCAACACAGAAAGUUAUUGCCCAAAGUGAGAUUAGCCUUUCUUAACUUUUAAAAGACUGGACUGGAGCAAACAAGGAUAUCAACAAAAAUUCUCUUUAAUAAGAGCCAGUAUAAAACCUGAAAUUAUGUAUCACGGGGAAUAAAUUGUAGAUAGGGAGGUAAGUAGGUAGGGUAUAUAUUUUAUUCUGGAUUUGGAUCCUAUCAAGAUCAUGAGGCUAUUUUCUUAGAGGGGAAAAAGUGUCUUACUGGACAAUUUCCCUAUUACAUGGGGAAUGUAAUGGAAUAAAAGAAUGGCAAAAGACAUUGAUUUGGGGAGCAUGUGAAGCUGUGGGGGCCAGGGGCCCUUGCUGGAAGCAGAAAAGACUGAGUAGUUAACUGUUGGAGGCAAAAAUAACUGCCAGCCUGGGAGUUGAAAGUGUUGGGAGGGGGGAUAGAAUGGAGCACACAUAAGAGCUCCAUGGGCAAAAGCUGCUCUCAUGAAGAAGCCCUAGUAUAUCUGACCCUGUCUGAAGGAGUGGUGGCCCACAAAGCUCAAUGCUUUCAGUUCCUAGCAGAGAAGGCUGCUAACUUGAUUACAAGAUGACUCCCAUACUGUAACUGCUGGUCAAAAAAAUAUCCUUGUGGAGAUGACAUUAUUCUUUCUAGCUCCUGUAAUACCCAUAUCUUCUCUCUGUCCAAUCAUUAAAGUGAGUAAUUGCCUACAAAAUGUAUUAUAUGCAGGUCCAAAUGGUGAAGAGUAUGUAGAUGAGUUAGACGGAGGAUAUAAUACACAAGAACAGAGGUUCUUGGUUCCUGAGGGACCUUUCCUUCCCAGCUGUCUACUUGAGUGGACCACAUACACAUCUUCUACCCCCAGAUGAGGCCUAUGUGGAAAAGGACGACAUCGAGCAAAGGACAUAGGUGGAAACUCCCUCCACCUGCAGCACACCGUCUGCUACUCUCAGCUGAGAGAUUUGAAGAGAGCAAGAAGAUUUACUUCAGAUGGCUGUGGCAUCCCUGUCAUCAUCCCCAUCUACAUUUCAGGGAGGGGUAUGCAGGAGGGAGAAGAGGAAGUAGCUGUCAUUAUGAAGCAAGGUAAGGGCUUGAGGGGUAAAAGGACAAGCUUUGAACCAGGCUCAGCAAACUCACUGCUUCCAACAGACAUGCUGCCGUGUCUUGAGUGGCCACAUGAAAAUCUCAGCUUGCUGUUCUCUGGUUUCCUAGGAUACUGGAGUUAUCAUGGGCAUUACUGAGGAUAGUGUAGUUUAACCUAUGAAGGAAACAUUUUCGGGAACUUAAUCAAGGUUAUCUUGGAGCUGAGUUUCACUAUCUCUUAUUCUUCACUAGUACCGUGAGUGCAAUAGGGGCAUACUAAUAAGCAGAAGAUACAAAACAUGAGCUGGAGAGAGAAUAUUAGAUACUAGAUACUAAUGCUUGACAAAGGGAAUCAGAAGGCCUAUGGAUCACAUGCAGGGCAGGGGAUAAGAAAAUAUGGCUAUGAUUUGAAAUGGGACUCUGGGUAGGUAAAUUCUUCAGAUAAAUCAGGGUGUUAUAAAGGAUGCUGGGAUAAACACACCAUGAGAUGCCACUCAGGAACUAAAAUACAGCUCCCCUUGCUUCCCAAACAGUCAUUCAGCAGGGCCACUUGUACAUAUAAUGGCUAUGAGGCUUCGGGCAAGUUAUUCUAGUUGCUGAUUAGGCUACAUACUGAAAAAUAUUCUACCAAAAAAAGAAAGUGUAGCAUAAAAAUCAAACAUAAAGGGGAAAAUAAAAUAGAAAAACUUGAGACAUAGUAUAUAUGAUCUCAUCACUUUUGCAAUCAUUGUGCUGGAAGCUGAGGAUUAUCUGCAAUUUAAUCUAAGACUUUCUUUUAGGUGUGUGUCAUCAGCUGAGGCUUUUCCCCCAUUUGUUCUCUGGGUCUUGGCUUGAGAUAAUAGUUUCUAUUCUCACUAUUCCAGAGGCACCAGGACAUAAUAAAGGAAGAUAUAAUUAUUUAUUUAUUUUUAAGAUUUUAUUUAUUCAUGAGAGAUACACACAGAGAGAGAGAGAGAGAGAGAGAGAGAGAGGCAGAGACAUAAACAGAGGGAGAAACAGGAUCCAUGCAGGGAGCCCGACGUAGGACUGAAUCCUGGGACUCCGGGAUCACACCCUGAGCUGAAGGCAGAUGCUCAACUGCUGAGCCAUCCAGGUGUCCUUAACAAGGAAUUAGAACAGUGAUGUUCAUGCACAGAUGCCCAGGAAUCAUCACUCUGUUAGUAAAGAAACAGAAGAAUAGCAGAAGCUACUUUGAUAACUAGUGAUUAGAGGAGAAAGAAGGUUCUGAAGAUAAAGCAGAGAGAAAUAAAGGGUGGGAAGCAACAGUUCCAGGAGAGAGGAACACAGACCCUUCUGGGAGAGAAGUAGGGCUCGAAGGGCAGAGCUGAGCCAGAACAGACAGAAGCAGAGGGCGAUGGUCAGGUCCUCACCACCUCCUCAUGGGAGUGCACCGGGUCUAGUGUGCUGAGCUGAAACAGGCUGGCCUCUGCUAAUAUCUUGAUAGGAAAAAGAAAGAGAGCACUCUGUCCAAAUCAAAGUAAUAUAUUUUCUCUCUCCUCAGAUAAUACGUAACUUAGGAAGUUAAAUGGUAGUGAAUGAAUAAUACUAAUGGCUAGAAAAAGUUGUAGAGAAGCGAAGAGAAGCUCAAGAGCUGAGUCAGCAGCAGAGGAGAUGCCCACACCAUUGCUGGAUACUUUGUAAGUCCCUCUUAAGUGGGAAAUAUAAACCUAUCUAGAAAUCUGCUUUCAGCCCAGGCUGUGGCUCCUGCCACUGAUUAGAAUGCUUAUACCAGCUCUGAGAUGUUCUUGGAAAAGUGUUGAGGCACUAGCUUCCAUAAGGAUUUUCAUACCCAGGAAAACAAUGGAAUUAGUGGCCUAUAGAAGUUUAUAGCUGCUCAAGGCAAUUAUUUCUGAGAAUAUUUGGUCUAAAUAUUAAGAACUCAAUUAAAGCAGUCUCUGAGGAUUUCAGAGAUUGAUCACUUAGAUAUUUGCCUGCUUUAUACAUGCUUCCAUGUUUAUAUCCUGAAAGCAAUUGAAGCUUAGAGAACAGAAUGUAGCUGGAAUCCAAGGGUGUGGAAAAGGCAGCUUUGGCUUACAGACUAGCAAAGGCUUGCAGGAUCCCUUAUCUUGUGGUGCCCCACUGCAUUUGCCCUCAAAUAUAGAGAGCCUUUGCCAUCAAAAGAAGCAGAAGCGGCUUAGAUUUGAUAUUUCCGAGUAGUAUCUUUGGUUGCCUGGAGCCAGGAAGAAAGAUGUGUAUUGCUUUCCUAGGGAACAAGGCCAUAAUGUCCUCAAAUGGCAAGAGGGCAACUGAGCUGUUCAGGAUUUGGGCUUGUAAACAGGACAUCUUCGAGACAGGCAUCUCUGAGACAGUUGGAACAAGGGGAGAUUUACCCAUUCUAACAAUAAUUCUGUUACUGCCUUCUGCAGGAACUAAUUCUCUUACGAGUUAGAGAUACCCAGUACUGAUCAGAGAUUAAGAAAGUAUCAGAUUUGUUACAGUUCUGCCAUUAACGAACCUAUUCUAAAAUUGAUUUUCUAGUAACAUGUUUUAUCUCUGCAGAUUUUGGAAACAGGCCUGAGAAUGGGCAUCUGAUUAUUCAGCAAAAAAUCCUAAUCUAUAAAGAGGCUUUCUUACCUUAGCCCCACCGAGGUCUAUAUCCUGAAAUUGUGAGGGUUCAGAAGACCAGAACACAAGCCCAGUGUUCAGGUCAAGAGAACAAGAGCCUUGGAAUCAGACACACUUGAAUAAAAAUUGAAUUAUUUUACUUACU